UAUAUAUAUAUAAAUAAAAUAAAACAGCAACUGCAGUAGAGGGCUCACCCACCGUCCAGUAGGCCCUGGGUUCAUAACCCAGCCCCUCAAGGGCAGAGCAGGGCAAAAUGGCAAAGUAUACUUUACUAGCUGGAUAUGGUUGUGCACCCUGAAGUCAUAGCUACUUAGGAGGCUGAGGCAGGAGGAUUGUAAGUUUGAAGCCAUCCCAGGCAACUUAGGGAAAUCCUGUCUUAAAAUAAGAAAUAAAAAGUGCUAGAGUUUAGCUCAGUGGUAGUGCACUUGCUAGCAUGUACAAGGCCCUGGUUUCCAACCCCAGUACUAGAAAAAGAGAGAAAGAGAACACAGCAAUAUAUGUACGAUAACAGUUAGCCUUAGUUUGUGGGGAAACAUUAGCAAGGGGCAGCAACUAGAAAAUUGGAGAAUGCAUGCUCUAGCAAAAAAGAAGGCGUUGGGCUGGGGUUGUAGCUCAAUG
rnacentral:lncRNA from 1 species